AACGUUGGCGGCGUGCUUAAUACAUGCAAGUCAACUGAAGCACCGGUAGUAAUACUGGUGUGGAGGUGGCGCACGGGUGAGUAACACGUAGGUAAUCUGCCUUCAGGUCUGACAUAACCCCGAGAAAUCGGGGCUAAUAGCAGAUGAUGCAGCGGCUUGACAUCAAGACAGUUGUUAAAGCUUCGGCGCCUGAAGAUGAGCCUGCGUCUGAUUAGCUAGUUGGCGGAGUAAUAGCCCACCAAGGCGACGAUCAGUAGCUGGUCUGAGAGGAUGAUCAGCCACACUGGAACUGAGACACGGUCCAGACUCUUACGGGAGGCAGCAGUAAGGAAUAUUGCUCAAUGGGAGAAAUCCUGAAGCAGCAACGCCGCGUGAGGGAUGAAGGGCUUUUGCUCGUAAACCUCUGUAGUGAGGGAAAAAUUUCCAUUCUAUGGAAUAUGAUGGUACCUCAAAAGUAAGCCCCGGCUAACUACGUG
rnacentral:rRNA from 1 species